GCUAGUGUGGCUCAACGGUAGAGCAGCUGACUUGUAAUCAGCAGGUUGUAGGUUCGAUUCCGAACACAGAA
rnacentral:tRNA from 1 species